rnacentral:lncRNA from 1 species
UGCAGUAGCCCUCACCGGGCUCUGAACUAGGGGAGUGUGGAUUCUCAAAGAAUUCAUGAAAAUGUUCACAAUGGAGUCUUCUUAUGCAUCUGUUUUCCCUAGAGCAUUCAAUUCAAGCUCAUGAAAUAUCAGGUUGUACAAGAAGCAUGGCACCAGCAUCUGCAUCUGAUGAGGACCUCAGGGUGCUUCCACUUGUGGCGGAAGAAGGGGAGCCAGCAUGUGCAGAUACCACACGGCGAGAGAUGAAGGAAGAGAAAGAGGAGGAAGGUUCCAGGCUCUUUUUAACAAUCAGACCUCACAGGAACUAAUAGUGUGAGAAGAUGUUUAACAUAUUCUAAUAAGAUAUUCCUAAUAAACUGCCAUGAGAUAA